UACGUAGGAGACAAACGUUAUCCGGAGUUACUGGGCGUAAAGGGCGUGUAGGCGGUCUGUUAAGUCUGGCGUGAAAGCUCUCGGCUAAACCGGGAGAGGUCGUUGGAUACUGGCAGACUAGAGGACGGUAGAGGCGUGUGGAAUUCCGGGUGUAGCGGUGAAAUGCGUAGAGAUCCGGAGGAACACCAGUGGCGAAGGCGACACGCUGGGCCGUACCUGACGCUAAAGCGCGACAGCAUGGGGAGCAAACGGG
rnacentral:rRNA from 1 species